UGCCUGCCUGCUCCAGAGAAGCAGCCUUUGUUCCUCAGUUCAUCGCAACACUCAGCCUGUCAGUCAGGUUGUGGGAUCCCUCCUAUCCAGGAACUGUAUGCUGUUGUCCCGGUUCUGACACUUUCCCUCUGAGUCCUUGGACACCUUACCUAACCUCUUGGAAGCUCCUGUCUGUGAAGGGUGUGCACAGAGAGCUUCGGUAGCCUGCGAAGCAGCCAUUUUCACUUCCACGGAGCAGAUGCUGGCCUGGGUGCUGGAAUAUGGAAAUGAGGAAGAUCCUGCCUGAGGAUUUCAUGACAGUGCUGCGAUUACCGACGUGAGCCACUGUGCCCAGCCUCACUUUAAAAAAAAAAAAAGGUUAUGAAGCAUCUCAACACAAGACCUCCUUUGCUCAUCACAACCACCCAGUGAAGCAGGCAAGACAACAGAAACUCCCCACCUGUGAUAGAUGUGAGGCCUGAAGUCUCCCACAUACCCACGGCAGAUGCAACGCACAGCGGUGACCAAUGGUGAAGGAUCUAAAACCUGAAAAGAGGCCAAAUGAUUCCUCAAAACCACGCAAGUACGAAGUAGCAGAGCGGAUCUCAAAUCCAGGUUGCCCUGCUGAUGUCAUGCCUGACCAUAUGACUUGCUCCAGCCAAUGAAAUGUAAGCAGAAGUGACAUAUGCAGCAUGACCAGUGGAAGCUUCGAAGAGCUAUUGCCAAUUUCCACCCUCUCUCUGGAAACUGUCAUUAGGGUUAGGGAAACUGUCAUGAGAUCUGCAUAUUUUAGAUAGAGGCUGCUUGCCUUAUUUGGGCACCUAAUGAAAAAGACAUGGAGGCCAGGUGCGGUGGCUCAUGUCUGUAAUCCCAGCACUUUGGGAGGCCAAGGCGAGUGGAUCACCUGAGGUCAGGAGUUCGAGACCAGCCUGACCAACAUGGCAAAACCCCGUCUGUACUAAAAGUGCAAACACAAAGGGAACUGCGUGGCUUGUUUCUACCUGAACAUUGUCAAGUGAUUUCAUCCUUUGAAACACAGUUGUGAAGUGUGUCCAGCAGUCUGAGAACAAGAAGAAGAAGAAAAUCUAAUCCUUCAGGGUGUCUGUGUGCCAGCCCUGCUCUCAGCACUUCCCAUGUGGAACUCCUUUACUUCUCCUAACAACUCCAUGACAUGGGUUAGACUGUGAUUGUUCCCAUAUUGUUGGUAGGGAAACUGAGGCAUGCAGGUGUUACAGAGCUCUCUCAAGUGGCAAGCUUUCUGGGUGGUUACAGAGUGGCAGAGCUGGGGUAUCCCAUGAUGUCACCACACUGCUAUAUGGAAAAGAACAUUAAUCGAGCACCUACGUGCUUGAUUCUCUUAAUUCUGUGACUGAACUCUCAAAACACCCUGGAGCACUGCGUGUUUUGAAAUAUACAAAUAGUGGGAAACGAAAUCUUUGUUCUGGAUGCAGUUAUAAUUUGGAAAGCGAGGAAAUAAAUUAUAACAAGGGGAAAAAACAGACACAGAGGGAUUGAAAUGCAUAACAAUAGAGAUGAAACACGAAGAGUGAUAAAUGAAGAUUGAGUGUGCACACCUUCUGGAGGAGCCCUGAUUGAGUAUUUUAACACAGAAGUGGGUGAGAGCAAAGUUGUGUCAGAGUAAGACAAUGACACCAAGCCAGAUGGUUAUCAAAAUCCACAGGAACAAAUGAAGAGAACCAGAAAUUGCAAAUAAGAAGGACAGAGUACCAGAGAGGAGAGAGAGGUACAGAGAAUUAUGGAGGUGGCUUCCGUUGAGUAUGCAGCUAAGUAAUGAUUAAUGCAUACAUAUAAGAAACUACUGGAUGACAGAGAAAGAACCACAAGCAAUUUAAAGAAUACUACUAAAGUCAUGCCGUGUGACUUCUGAAGCUAGCUCCUAAGAAGUCCUUGCAGCUUCUGCCUGCGACUCUUAGAACACUUGCUUUGAAGGAUGCCAGAUGCUGUCUUAAAAGUCUGAGCACUCUGAAACCAUCAUGCUGUGAGGAAGCCCAAGCUAACCACAUGGGCAAAAAAGAUGCCCUCUGACUGCCACCAUUUGAGACACUCUAAUUAAGAACUGCCUCAUUGAGCCCAUGAGGCCCUGUGAAUGAUAAUAAUAAAUUGUUUUUAACCACUAUGUUUUUGGAUUUGUUAUAAGUUUAUAGAUAACAAGAAAAAGUUAUAUUAGCAUGGUAAUAAAAUUAUGGAUAUGUGUAAGUUUGGUGUUUUGUUUCUUUUUUUUUUUUACACUAAGCCUAUAUUACUGUUGUAAUUUAGGAAAUCACUUGUUUUCCUCCAGCACUUCAAUGUAAGAGUGGCACUACUUAGAAUGUACUUCUUAAGAUAUGGCU
rnacentral:lncRNA from 10 species